CGGUAGAGAUCUUUCGGGAUCUUGAGAGCGGCGUACGGGUGCGGAACACGUGUGCAACCUGCCUUUAUCAGGGGGAUAGCCUUUCGAAAGGAAGAUUAAUACCCCAUAAUAUAUUGAUUGGCAUCAAUUGAUAUUGAAAACUGAGGUGGAUAAAGAUGGGCACGCGCAAGAUUAGAUAGUUGGUGAGGUAACGGCUCACCAAGUCGAUGAUCUUUAGGGGGCCUGAGAGGGUGAUCCCCCACACUGGUACUGAGACACGGACCAGACUCCUACGGGAGGCAGCAGUGAGGAAUAUUGGACAAUGGGUUAGCGCCUGAUCCAGCCAUCCCGCGUGAAGGACGACGGCCCUAUGGGUUGUAAACUUCUUUUGUACAGGGAUAAACCUUUCCACGUGUGGAAAGCUGAAGGUACUGUACGAAUAAGCACCGGCUAACUCCGUGCCAGCAGCCGCGGUAAUACGGAGGGUGCAAGCGUUAUCCGGAUUUAUUGGGUUUAAAGGGUCCGUAGGCGGAUGUGUAAGUCAGUGGUGAAAUCUCACAGCUUAACUGUGAAACUGCCAUUGAUACUGCAUGUCUUGAGUAAGGUAGAAGUGGCUGGAAUAAGUAGUGUAGCGGUGAAAUGCAUAGAUAUUACUUAGAACACCAAUUGCGAAGGCAGGUCACUAUGUCUUAACUGACGCUGAUGGACGAAAGCGUGGGGGAGCGAACAGGAUUAGAUACCCCUGGUAGUCCACGCUGUAAACGAUGCUUACUCGUUUUUUGGGGGAUUUAUCUUUCAGAGACUAAUGCGAAAAGU
rnacentral:rRNA from 1 species